UGACCUCGGAUCAGGUAGGGAUACCCGCUGAACUUAAGCAUAUCAAUAAGCGGAGGAAAAGAAACCAACCGGGAUUGCCUCAGUAACGGCGAGUGAAGCGGCAAGAGCUCAAAUUUGAAAGCUGGCUCCUUCGGAGUCCGCAUUGUAAUUUGCAGAGGAUGCUUUGGGUGCGGCCCCCGUCUAAGUGCCCUGGAACGGGCCGUCAGAGAGGGUGAGAAUCCCGUCUUGGGCGGGGUGUCCGUGCCCGUGUAAAGCUCCUUCGACGAGUCGAGUUGUUUGGGAAUGCAGCUCUAAAUGGGUGGUAAAUUUCAUCUAAAGCUAAAUACUGGCCGGAGACCGAUAGCGCACAAGUAGAGUGAUCGAAAGAUGAAAAGCACUUUGAAAAGAGAGUUAAACAGCACGUGAAAUUGUUGAAAGGGAAGCGCUUGCAACCAGACUCGCCCGCGGGGUUCAGCCGGCAUUCGUGCCGGUGUACUUCCCCGUGGGCGGGCCAGCGUCGGUUUGGGCGGCCGGUCAAAGGCCCCUGGAAUGUAGUGCCCUCCGGGGCACCUUAUAGCCAGGGGUGCAAUGCCGGCCAGCCUAGACGAGGAACG
rnacentral:ncRNA from 1 species